UUCUUGCUUCUUCUUCUUCUUCUUCCUCUUUUUC
rnacentral:sRNA from 1 species